rnacentral:rRNA from 1 species
CGGACGGGUGAGUAACGCGUGGGUAACCUGCCUUGUACUGGGGGACAACAGUUAGAAAUGACUGCUAAUACCGCAUAGGCGCACAGUAUCGCAUGAUACAGUGUGAAAAACUCCGGUGGUACAAGAUGGACCCGCGUCUGAUUAGCUAGUUGGUAAGGUAACGGCUUACCAAGGCGACGAUCAGUAGCCGACCUGAGAGGGUGACCGGCCACAUUGGGACUGAGACACGGCCCAA